rfam:Jatropha curcas cultivar GZQX0401 scaffold187_174, whole genome shotgun sequence.
AGGCCAUGGUGUGGGCAAACUCGUUGGAGUUCUUUAUAGCGAUCCCAUGCCUCAUAUAGGGAUUCAUUUUCAUGUUGGGUAAAUGAAGUUAUUUCUUUGAUAAGCCU